UCCUUGGGCCUAAUUGUCUAACGCAAACGAUUGAAUUUGACAAUUGAAAUCGUACGUUUUUACUUGUCAAACGGCUAUUUCGGAUUGUGUAAGCCAAUGGAAAGCCAUCGGUUGGGCAUAGUUUGUUCAUUACGAUUAGAUCGUUAUUUUUAUACGAAGAGUGAAUGAUUUGAUAUGUUUUAACAGUUAUUUGCGAUUGUCUUCGAAUUGUGUAAAGUUUUAUGGUCAUGGCUUAUGUCAAAAACUUACGAUGGGUCUUGAGUCACCUUUGAUCGUAAAACGGACAAAUUGUGGAUGUCCAAAAUUCCAAAAUAAUAAUUUAUAUUUUGUUAAAUAUCUAAAAUUAAUAUUUUUUUCCAUUCUAAAUCUCUCAAUUCAGUCUCCCCGUCCACAGUUAGCAUUUUUAGGACGAAACUUUGCGAAGUGUUUUGUUUGUAAACAAUGAACUCUGUUAAAAAGAGUAAUAAAUAAUAUAUUCUUUGCAAUGAACCUAUAAAGUCAAAACAAUGAAGUUAAUUGAGUGCUAUUAAUCGAUUUAUAUAGGAUGCUGAGACUUGGACUCUGAGAGAAAGAUAUUUGGAAUAUGCCCUAUAACUGCAGACUCCAAUAUUACAAAAAGCACCUGCAAUACAAUAGAAUAACAUAUUGGUGUGCUGAAGAAAAGAUAGCAAAGGCUUUUAGCUGAUAGGACAUUGUACUGAUGACCCUGUUAUCUGGUCAAAUCAUAAAUGUGUGUGUAUUAUCAAAAUAUUUGCAUAGAUUGUGAAAUGCUGAUGAUAUUUGAAAAUAAAAGAAUACUUACUUCGCUGA